rnacentral:rRNA from 1 species
AAUGAACGUUGGCGGCAUGGAUGGGGCAUGCAAGUCGAGCGAGAAGUGUAGCAAUACACGGAAAGCGGCGGAAGGGAGAGUAAUACGUGGGAAUCUGCCCUUAGACCUGGGAUAGCAGCGGGAAACUGCUGGUAAUACCAGAUAAUGUCUAUGGACCAAAGGUGUGAUUCCGUCUAGGGAUGAGCCCACGUCCUAUUAGCUAGUUGGUAGGGUAAUGGCCUACCAAGGCGAUGAUGGGUAGCGGGUGUGAGAGCAUGACCCGCCUCACUGGGACUGAGACACUGCCCAGACACCUACGGGUGGCUGCAGUCGAGAAUCUUCGGCAAUGGGCGCAAGCCUGACCGAGCGAUGCCGCGUGCGGGAUGAAGGCCUUCGGGUUGUAAACCGCUGUCGAGGGGGAGCAACUUCCAUAGAGUUAUCUUUAUGGAUUGAGUGAUCCCUGGAGGAAGGACGGGCUAAGUUCGUGCCAGCCGCCGCCGUAACAC